GUGUAAUGGAAUUCAGCUUUAGGAGUAAGCGAGAUGUCAUAGGAAGCCAAGAAGAAAAAUGGAAAAAAGUAUUUCAUUUGAUGACAUAGAAAAACAAGUAUGACAGAGGUCUGAAGGACCAGAGGGGACCACUUAUUAGCUCAUCACAAACUUGAAACAGGCAAAAUGUACCUGUCAGAGCCUAAGUAGAACUGGAUUGCAUGAUGUAUGGCAGUGAUCUUCCAGAGCGCUCUCAAGUGUGUUUGACACGAGUGAACUGUGUUCGAGUUGAUUCUCCCUAUGGCAGUCCCAAAGCCUAAUUAUGAAAACACGAUAAGAUCAUUGCACAGUUAGACCAUUGCACCAUUGGCAUUCCUAAUAAACAGAUCAGCUUAGCCCA